rnacentral:rRNA from 1 species
CUCAGAUUGAACGCUGGCGGCAGGCCUAACACAUGCAAGUCGAACGGUAGCACAGAGAGCUUGCUCUCGGGUGACGAGUGGCGGACGGGUGAGUAAUGUCUGGGAAACUGCCUGAUGGAGGGGGAUAACUACUGGAAACGGUAGCUAAUACCGCAUAACGUCGCAAGACCAAAGAGGGGGACCUUCGGGCCUCUUGCCAUCAGAUGUGCCCAGAUGGGAUUAGCUAGUAGGUGGGGUAACGGCUCACCUAGGCGACGAUCCCUAGCUGGUCUGAGAGGAUGACCAGCCACACUGGAACUGAGACACGGUCCAGACUCCUACGGGAGGCAGCAGUGGGGAAUAUUGCACAAUGGGCGCAAGCCUGAUGCAGCCAUGCCGCGUGUAUGAAGAAGGCCUUCGGGUUGUAAAGUACUUUCAGCGGGGAGGAAGGUGUUGUGGUUAAUAACCACAGCAAUUGACGUUACCCGCAGAAGAAGCACCGGCUAACUCCGUGCCAGCAGCCGCGGUAAUACGGAGGGUGCAAGCGUUAAUCGGAAUUACUGGGCGUAAAGCGCACGCAGGCGGUCUGUCAAGUCGGAUGUGAAAUCCCCGGGCUCAACCUGGGAACUGCAUUCGAAACUGGCAGGCUAGAGUCUUGUAGAGGGGGGUAGAAUUCCAGGUGUAGCGGUGAAAUGCGUAGAGAUCUGGAGGAAUACCGGUGGCGAAGGCGGCCCCCUGGACAAAGACUGACGCUCAGUGCGAAAGCGUGGGGAGCAAACAGGAUA